rnacentral:lncRNA from 1 species
CCUCAAGGGUCGCGAAGGCCUUUUUCAUCUCUGCCAACCAGUACUCAGCUUCUUUAAAAGUGGAUACCCUUGUAAAAGUAGUUGGAUUAAGUCUCUUGUACCUUUCGAUAUAGCCUGGGUCCAUCAUGGGUGGAGCUGGACCCCGCUGAAAGGGAACUGAAUUAUGCUGGAGAUUUACUGAAUGACCUUGUGGUGACACUGGGUUGUACGGUGGA